AUUGAACGCUGGCGGCAGGCCUAACACAUGCAAGUCGAACGAGUGGCGGACGGGUGAGUAAUGUCUGGGAAACUGCCCGCUGGAGGGGGAUAACUACUGGAAACGGUAGCUAAUACCGCAUACCAUCGGAUGUGCCCAGAUGGGAUUAGCUAGUGGGGGGGGUAACGGCACACCUAGGCGACGAUCCCUAGCUGGUCUGAGAGGAUGACCAGCCACACUGGAACUGAGAGACGGUCCAGACUCUAACGGGAGGCAGCAGUGGGGAAUAGUGCACAAUGGGCGCAAGCCUGAUGCAGCCAUGCCGCGUGGAGGAAGAGGGGCUUCGGGUUGGAAAGGACUGUCAGCGAGGAGGCGUUACUCGAAGAAGAAGCACCGGCUAACUCCGUGCCAGCAGCCGCGGUAAUAC
rnacentral:rRNA from 1 species